AUUGAACGCUGGCGGCAGGCCUAACACAUGCAAGUCGAGCGGAUGAAGGGAGCUUGCUCCUGGAUUCAGCGGCGGACGGGUGGGUAAUGCCUAGGAAUCUGCCUGGUAGUGGGGGAUAACGUCCGGAAACGGGCGCUAAUACCGCAUACGUCCUGAGGGAGAAAGUGGGGGAUCUUCGGACCUCACGCUAUCAGAUGAGCCUAGGUCGGAUUAGCUAGUUGGUGGGGUAAAGGCCUACCAAGGCGACGAUCCGUAACUGGUCUGAGAGGAUGAUCAGUCACACUGGAACUGAGACACGGUCCAGACUCCUACGGGAGGCAGCAGUGGGGAAUAUUGGACAAUGGGCGAAAGCCUGAUCCAGCCAUGCCGCGUGUGUGAAGAAGGUCUUCGGAUUGUAAAGCACUUUAAGUUGGGAGGAAGGGCAGUAAGUUAAUACCUUGCUGUUUUGACGUUACCAGCAGAAUAAGCACCGGCUAACUUCGUG
rnacentral:rRNA from 1 species